rnacentral:rRNA from 1 species
GACGAACGCUGGCGGCGUGCUUAACACAUGCAAGUCGAACGGUGAAGCGCCUUCCUUUUUGGUGGGUGUGGAUGAGUGGCGAACGGGUGAGUAACACGUGAGUAACCUGCCCCCUUCUUCUGGAUAACCGCAUGAAAGUGUGGCUAAUACGGGAUAUUCUGGGUCUGUCGCAUGAUGGGUCUGGGAAAGAUAUUGUUUCGGUGGGGGAUGGGCUCGCGGCCUAUCAGCUUGUUGGUGGGGUGAUGGCCUACCAAGGCGGUGACGGGUAGCCGGCCUGAGAGGGUGGACGGUCACACUGGGACUGAGACACGGCCCAGACUCCGACGGGAGGCAGCAGUGGGGAAUAUUGCACAAUGGGCGAAAGCCUGAUGCAGCGACGCCGCGUGAGGGAUGGAGGCCUUCGGGUUGUGAACCUCUUUCGCCAGUGAAGCAGGCCUGCCUCGUUUGUGGGUGGGUUGACGGUAGCUGGAUAAGAAGCGCCGGCUAACUACGUG